CGUAACGGCCUUAAAAGACAAACCAGACACUUUGCCUCUUAUUAAAAAGUCGUCGCCCUCUCCUGCUGGCAUGCUGAGAGAGAGAGAGAGAGAGGUGACCAGAGAUGGCUUACGAGGAGAGAUAAAGGUGUCCAGGCUGGGUGUCCUGUGGGGUCUGAUGUAGCUUCCUCUGGCUGGCUUCCCCAAAGGUUCCUAUAGGACCCACUGUGGCGUGUGCUGGUGGGAGCAGUGCUACAGUGGAGGGGUGAGGCUGGAAAGCAGCAUGAGUGAGCAGCAGCAGCAGCAGCAGCAGCAGUCUGCCUCAGGUGUGGUGAGGUCCAGGACUGGUGGCAAGAAUGACCUGGAGGCAAGCAGCUCCACCCACAGAGGAGAGAGAAAGUUUGAGUGUCAACAGUGUGAUAAAACUUUUACAUCCAGAGAAGGGCUUAGACUACACACUCUGAGACACAGUGGUGUUAGAAAUUAUGAGUGUCUGGAAUGUGGAAAGAAAUUUGCUCAAAAGGCUCAUCUCACCACACACACCCUGAGACAUAGUGGUGUUAGAAAGUAUGAGUGUCUGGAGUGUAGAAAGAAAUUUACGAUAAAGUCUGAUCUGAUCACACACACCCUCAUACACAGUGGUGUUAGAAAAUUUGAGUGUCUAGAAUGUGGAAAGAAAUUUAGCAAGAAGUCUCACCUCACCACACACACCUUGAAACACAGAGGUGUGAGAAAUUAUGAGUGUCUGGAAUGUGGAAAGAAAUUCACCACAAAGGUUGAACUCAGCACACACACCCUGAGACACAGUGGUGUUAGAAAUCAUGAGUGUUUGGAAUGUGGAAAGAAACUUUUCACCAAGUCUGAACUCACCGCACACACCCUGACACACAGUGGUGUUAGAAAUUUUGAGUGUGAGGAGUGUGGCAAAAAAUUCCUUACCAUCGGUGCUCUCGACAGGCACGCCUUCAGACACACUGGCUUGAGGGAGUUCAAGUGUGAUGUUUGUGGCAAGUGUUUCAAGACAAAGCAUGACAUUGCCCGGCAUGUGAAGAUCCACUUUUGAGGUGGUGUGUUGUGUGGACCAGUGGGGCCACACCCAUGCCUAUGGGAGUGUGUGGUGGUGGUGGUGGUGGUGGUGUGCGGUGUGUUUCUUUCUUUUUCUUUUCUCUUGAGUUGCCUCCUCCCGACCUUGGCCUGACCUUUCAGCCUUUGCUCCUCGGCACAGCCAGGUGAAGCACACCUUCAGUGGGAACCGGUCUCCCGAGGGUGUCACCAAGGCUCUCCAUCUCCAGCAGGACGUGGCGGGGGUCAAGAUGGCAGGCAAGCAAGCCAAGAGGGUUUGCACGUCCCCAUCCUACACGGCCUGUGGCAUCUGCUUAUCUUCGUCACUGCCUACGGGAUGCAGGUCCUUUUCUGCUACUUCCACGCAGCCCAGGACGUCCCCGAAUCCAGGCCAGUGAGGGGAGUCUUGGUCUGCCCUAUGUCUUCUGUCACUCAGCACGCCACGUCAAGAGCCCUUGAGUGUGUAGGCCCACGGAACCCACCCAAGAAGUGACGGGAACCUAACUCAGCCAGCCUGGGUAUGCCUAUAGAACUUUAUCCUAUGCUAUGUGUACAGGUGGACACCAAAGAAAUUCGUUUCUAAACCUGCCUACCAACCUACCUCUGCCUAGCCAACCCUAACUCAUAGACUGCUGCAACAUAAGUGACCCCUUCAAAACUUACCCAAGCCUCGGCUCAUGUAGACCAGGAAAAUAUAAGGCCUAUCUUGAAGCUUAUGCAAUCCUAUCCACCUUACCCUAAUUGUAGACUCAUUAAAAAACAGCCUUUAUAUAAUUUGAUUAGGCUUAGUCAUGAAUAUAAAAAAAACGAUUAAAGGCGUAUUUCAGCCAAUCGUGCAGCAUAUAGGCAUUGAAUAUUAGUGUGGGUCAUUGUAUGUGUAAUCUAACCUGACCUAACCUAUGAACCGAUGAAAAAAAAAAUGUAUUCUAACCUAAAUAGGUUAAAGACAGCCUAUAACGAAGCCUAUUCAGCCUAAAGUAGUAAUUUCAAUAGGCUCAUAACUACAAAACUGCACUUAGGUACUAGUAGUAAAAAAAAAAAGCUAACUUUUUUUUAUAUAGGCAUAGAGAAAAAGUACAGCCUAAUGAAAUGUGCAGUAGGUUAAAAUAGGUUAAAGAGAAGAAAAUACCAGUGAAAUCUGCAUAGGCUUACUGUAUGAUGUAAAUAGAGAAAGGGCCUAUACUUGUGUGUAUUAGAACCAAACAGACAUAGGCCGGGAAGAGAACGAGCAGCAUUGCCAAUCGGCCUAUCCAAAUCUGCAGAAUUCUAUAGGCUGGUAGAGGAAAAGUUUGUAGGCAUGGGAAAUGAAAUGCGUUGUGGCCAGAUUGAAAAAAAAAAUAAAUAAAUAAGGUGCGAUUUGGGCAUGUGUAAAUAGAGCAAUGUUAUCAUUUAUUUAUUUAUCGUAGUAUUUGGGCAUUGGGUAAGGAGGAAUAAAGAAAAAAAUCAUU